rnacentral:lncRNA from 1 species
GAGUCCUCCCUAGCGUUCGCGCAGAGGCGCCGCGCGUGGCCUGGCUCCUGUUGUCUGUCACCCGCGGUCUCAAAAGACCCCAUUAAUGACAAAUGCCCUGCCUGUGGCCCCGGCUACUCCGGAGGCUGAGGCGGGAGCAGCGCUUGAGCCCGGGAGCUCUGCGCUGUAUGCGCUGUGCCCAUUGCGCGGCGACACGCAUCUGUGUUCCGCAUCGGUGUGGUGACCUCCCGGGAGCAGGGACCACCAGGUUCCCCAAGGAGUGGGGAACUGGCCCAGCUCGGAAACCGGGCAGGGCAAAACUCCUGUGCUGAUCGGUAGCGGGAUCGCGCCUGUGAAUAGCCACUGCCCUCCAGCCUGGGCAAUACAGCGAGACCCCAUAAGUGAAAAAAAAAAAAAAAGACAAAUGCCCUUAAACAUAUUAAAAGAAGUUAAACGCCACUUGUGAUAGAAGAAAAUGUAGAUUAAGGUGUAAAGAGAGAAGUGGUGAAAAAAACACUCAUACCUUGGUGAUAAUAGUGCAAUGUAUACAAAUACCAUAAAAGGGGAAUUGGCAAUUUUUAAGAAAAAUGGUGUGGGCAUUCAUCUUUGGCCAAUAAUGCCAAGUUAUAUUGAAGAAUAUCUUAAUACUAAUCUUCUUUGCAUUUCUGAAAUAAAUCCCACUUGGUUAAGAAUAUUUUUGAACUUUUUUAAAGAACUCAUUGCUUCACAAUUAAAGUCUGAUGGGGUACACGCGUAGCAAUGGAGGAACUUCUACAGCUACUAUAAAUUAAAGAGCACCACCUGAACCAAAGUAGUGGCCUUCUUGAGCUGAACUGAGCUAACCACAUUCCCCAGCCCCUCUUCCACAGAUACCCCAUGGGGUUGUCAGGGUGUAGGGGAUGCCAUGUUGUACCACCCAGGUUUCCCCUUAAGGACUGAGGACUCAUUUCUCCAGUUGUUGGGUGUGUAGGCCGCUGAUGGCCCCCAGCUGAGUCUUGUGGCCACUUCCCUCAGCCAAAGAGAACUGCUGCUGGGUGCCAAGUUGAAUGCUUUUGACUCCUUCUACCAUGCUUGUGUCUUGAUUGGAGAUUGACAGAUAUUUCAGGUACUGGUUUCUCUUGCAAGGGCAGUGCAGACAGCACACAGGUAUCUUUGCCCAGUUUCCUUCAAUGGUUGCAGCUCAUGUAAAAUAUACAUAGUAUAAUAUCAAAUAAGCGUCAUUGGGGAUCAAUCCUGCUGGGAUCCCCCUCAGAAACUAUUCACAGCAGUGGCAGGCAAACUAGGGCAAAGUCUACUAGGUAUAUUUAAAAGUGUAUUACAAGUUUAUUUAAAUACAUAAAUAUGUUUCCAGAAAGUAAUCCUUCCAACUACCUAAACUAGUAAUGAAAAAUGUUAAAUAUCACCUUAAAUAUGUAUAAGGGGAUACUAAGUUCUUGUAUUUAAACCUUAUUAUUUUAGUAUAUACUCAAGCAAAAGAGUUUGAAGACCAGACCUUUAGGGCCUCACUACUCAAAUGGUGGUCCAGCAACAAGCGACACCAACGUCACCUGGAGUGUGUUAGAAAUGGGGAGUCUUGUGCUCCACCUACUUAAUUAAAAUCUGCAUUUUUACCAAGAUUUCCAGGUGAUUUAUACACAAAUUAACAUUUGAAAUCAUGCUCUAGGAUUAAUCAGGGCAUGUAAAUUUCCAUUGUUUCAUCUUCUCCUGACCCUUGAUAGUAUCAGAUAUUUAAAUAUUUGCCAACCUGAUGAGUAUGAGAUGCAUCUGUUUAUUACUUUAAAUACUAUUCUACCUGAUUAAUGUGCAAUAAUUACUUAACCAUUAUUCUCGUAAUUGAGGAUUUGGGUUAGCUCCAAUUUUUCACUAUCAUACAGAAUGACACUAAAAUGCUCUUUUCAGCGUAUCAUUCUGGUUAAACACAAUCUUUGAGGCCACGCUGAUUAGGAUCAUGUAAGGGCCGUGUUAUUGUUUGUCCUUGGAUACAGUUGCCAGAUGAAAUACAGGAUGGCCUGAAAUUUGAAUUCCAGAUUAAGAAUAAUUUUGUGGUUUAAGUAUAUCCUGUGCAAUAUGUGAGAGGCUUGUCUUCAUCUGUGCUGCCAUAAUAAAAUACCUGAGACUAGGUAGUUUAAAAACAAAUUUGUUUUCCCACUCUCCUGGAGGCUGGGAAGUACAAGAUCCAGCAGCCGUAUCUGGUAGGCUGCUGGUGAGGGCUUUGUGCUACAUCAUAACGUGGCAGAGAAUCGGAAGAGGAAGCGCGCACUGGCUAAAGGGGCAAUGUUACUUAUUAACAACCCGCUCUCAAGGUACCUAAUCCAGUCUCAAGAGACUGGGAACUCUCAGUGACUGCGUUAAUCUUUUCAUGGGGGGCUGGUCCCUCAUGGCUCAAAUGCCUCUUAAAGGUCCUACUCUGUCUCAACACUGUUACCCUGGGGUCCAAGCCUCAACAUGAAUUUUGGUGGGGAUAAAAGGUAUUCAAACUGUAGUGCUGUUGCUUUGUCAGUUGUUUCAACAUGAAUUAUGGAAGACACAUUCAGAAUGUAGCCAUAUGUACAGUAAAAUGUUAUUGUCUAUUUGAAAUUCAAGUUUAACCAGGCAUCCUGUAUUUUUAUUAGCCAAAUAGGGCAACGUUAACCUGGGCACAUUCUAACCAUCGUUUUCUCAUCUAUGAAAUGAGGAUAGCAGUAGAACUCAUAAAGUUGUUGUAUGAAUGAAAGGAGAUAAUCCAUGCAGACUACUUAUAACAGAGUAUGAAACGUAGUAAAAGCUCAGCAAAUGUCAGCUCUUCUUAGUUGUUGUUUCAUACAGGUGUGUCUUGGGAUAAAUUCCUAGAAGGAUGUUUUAGUUACAGAACUCCUGGGCUUAAUUUCAGACUUGUUUGAGCAUUCCAUCAUACCAAAAACUGUUUUGUAAGAAACCCUAAGCAGGUUACCAGAUACUUUUCAACUAGCUUCAAAAUACAAAUCAGAUUUUUAAAUUUCCACACAAAAACAAAAAAUUGCCAUCUAUAGGCAAGUAUCAAUUUCCCUUUAAUCACACCAAAUAUUUGGAUAUUGAUUCUGAUUUCUUUUCUAUUUUAGGGUCAACUGAAGCAAUAUUUAAGAAGAUACUGUCCAAGGGACAUGCUGAACAAUUUCUAGGACUUAUCUGUGUUAUCUAGUACCUAAACUAAAUUACAUUACAAAACUAAGACUUAAUAUUAGGCCCACGGCUUUUAACAAAAGAGAACACUCCUGUCUUUUGCUUUUGGGAAAGCUGAUAUUUACAGCAUCCAUUCUUUAUGCUUACCAGAAAAAAAAUAUACUUUUUAAUGUUACAUAUAUAUCAUUUAUAUAUUACAUAUAAUAAUUAUAUAUAACAUAUAUAUAUUCUCAAAUUUCAACUAGAAAAAAACUGUUACUUUAAGAAGAUACUCCAUAUUUAUACUACUAUAAUUCUCUUUUAUUUUUUCAGCUACAAGAUUUCUAUUUUGCUUUUUGUUUGUUUGUUUUUUGAGACAGUCUCUGUCACCCAGGCUGGAGUGCAGUGGUGUGAUCUUGGUCUUGGUCUCGGCUCACUGCAACCUCCACCUCCCAUGUUCAAGCGAUUCUUGUGCCUCCCAAAUAGCUGGGAUUACAGGCACGUGCCACUGAGCCGGGUUCUGUUUUGCUUUUUUUUUUUUUUUCCUGACGGAGUCUCACUCCGUCGCCCAGGCUAGAGUGCAGUGGUGCAAUCUCAGCUCACUGCAACCUCUGCCUCCCAGGUUCAAGCAAUUCUCCUGCCUCAGCCUCCUGAGUAGCUAGGAUUACAGGCGUGCGCCACCAUGCCCAGCUAAUUUUUUUGUAUUUUUAGUAGAGACCGGGUUUCACCAUGUUGGCCAGGCUGAUCUCAAACUCCUGAUCUCGUGAUCCACCCGCCUCAGCCUCCCAAAGUGCUGGGAUUACAGACGUGAGCCACCGCGCCUGGCCUGUUUUGCAUUUUAUCAUAAUUUUAGUAGACUCAUGGGUUUAUUAUGAUUAAUUUUUAAAUGACUUUCUAGAGGCAGGAAAGGUAUAAAUAAUAUAUGGGCCAAGAAUACAAUCAAGCGUGGCACUCGUUUUGUGCUGCCAGAUCAACCUUUUAAAGGAUCAAUCAAGUGGCUGUCUGUAAUAGAUCAGCUCAUGUCUGUCUAGCAAUAGAUUUUAUGCAGUAUUUUGCUAAAUAGAUAGGUAUAAAGGGGUUAUUUGCGGCCGGGCGCAGUAGCUCACACCUGUAAUCCCAGCACUUUAGGAGGCCGAGGCGGGUGGAUCACCUGAGGUCAGGAGUUCAAGACCAGCCUGGCCAACAUGAUGAAACCACAUCUCUACUAAAAAUACAAAAAUUAGUUGGGCAUGGUGGUGGGUGCCUGUAAUCCCAGCUACUUGGGAGGCUGAGGUAUGAGAAUCACUUGAACCCGGGAGGUGGAGGUUGCAGUGAGCCGAGAUCGGGCUACUGCACUCCAGCCUGGGCAACAAGAGUGAAACUCUGUCUGCAAAAAAAAAAAAAAAAAACUUCAUUCCCAGCAACUAGAAGAAUACCUGUCUGAUUGAAGGAGCUCAAUAGAUGAUUCAAAUUGUUUUUCUGCUGUAAAAACUAACUUACCUUCUUUCCAGCAUAGACUAUUCUCUUCCACUUUUUUUUUUUUUGCCCCUUUCAAUGUGUUUCUUCUCUCAUUAUCUGUCUCUCUUUCUGAAUUCAGUGUCUUUCACCUUCUUAGCCACCAUCACCAGCGUAAAACCAACAGUGAUCUGUCUAACUCCAAAGAUGCCAAAGAAGUACUUUGGACAUCUGAGAAUGUGUUUACACAGGACAGACAAGUCACCCAGCUGCUGCUUCCCUGAUCCCAGCUAAACAGUUUACCAAGAGUCAAGAAGUGUCUGGAGAGCUGGAGGCCAGAGCCAUAGGAGGAGACAGACAUGAAAAAGGCAAAAUUGGCCGGGCGUGGUGGCUCAUGCCUGUAAUCCCAGCACUUCGGGAGGCCGAGGCGGCCGGAUCACAAGGUCAAAAGAUCGAGACCAUCCUGGCCAACAUGGUGAAACCCUGUCUCUACUAAAAAUACAAAAAUUAGCUGGGCAUGGUGGUGUGCGCCUGUAAUCCCAGGUACUUGGGAGGCUGAGGCAGGAGAAUUGCUUGAACCCGGGAGGCAGAGGUUGCAGUGAGCCGAGAUUAUAACACUAUGCUCCAGCCUGGCGACAGAGCGAGACUCACAGAAGACGGAGUAUCUUCAGAUGACAGAAGGGCUGGCAGGAACAGAUGGGGAAGCUGGCCUGGAGAGCUGACCAGACACCCAGGCAGGUGGACUGGACGCCAGAUGUUCAGGCUGUUCACAGAUGCCUCCAACUCUGGGAAGACAUUAUCCAAAUACCACUGAAAUGACUUGCAACCCAGUCGUUUCCUUAACUCAACACGCUCGCGAAUAUUUCCGUAGGUGACAUAUUUCAGACCAGGCUUUCGAAGAAAAAACUGCUCCUAAAUGAAAAUAUAGAGUCAGUCGUUACGUUCAACCAAACAAAUCUUUGCUGAUCAAAUGAUUAUAUCUAACAUAGACGCAUGUAUUUUCAUCAUGUGAACUAAAAAAGCCCUCCAGAUCCCAAUUUUUUUCUGUCUAGGGAAUGAAGGCAGAGACAUACUAUGGGACCUCGGAUUUACCCACCCUGCAUAUGUUCACAGCACGUGCCAUGGCACCCUAGCGGGAUCCAGGAAGACUGGGUCCUGCUUCUCAGGAGCCAAAGAAGCACAGCCACCUAUUGCGGUAUCCCCUUUCUCCUGUUUUUUCAACAAUACCCAAGGACAAACCCCGUUAGUCCCUGGUCCUCAUCAGUAUGUUUGUCUUUUCAGAAAUGGGGGAUGAUGUAGUAAAGGGAGAAUAGAUCCUGCAGGAGUACAGCCUGGAUUCAAAGUCUGGCCCUGCCAUUCAGGGUCUGUGUGACCCUAGGCAAGUCUUCCCCUUGCGAAGUGCUUGUGAGGGUUGAACAGUCUAAUAGGGACAUGCAAAGCCCCUGGGCGAGCAUGGUUGGCACAUACUAAGUGUCAUGUCUGAGGUGGUCAUUAUUACCACACUUGGUUAGUUUUUUGUGUGCUCUGACUUAAGGAAGCCCCAAGAAUGAAUGUCUAAUGGACUCUGUUGGCCCCAUGUUGAAAAAAGGUAUUCUAAGUAGACUGAAGCCCUUCGCAAACAGAACCCUUAUCUUUUCAUCUGUGUUUUCCCAGGCCUGGCAUUCAGGGUAGUGAUAGUGUUGAAUGACAGAAGGAGUUUGCUCAUCCAAAUUAAUGUAUUAUGGGCAUGCCAUAUUGGAUUCUCCCUGGGGAUCCGUGACCACUGUAGGUCUUUGCCAUCGCAUUCUGCCACCCCUAGGUCCCCAGGGUGGAUUGGUGCAGGGGGUGAGCCUGCAGGUGGGGGAGGAUGCCAUAAUUUUGGAGACAAGACAGCAUGGAUGACCUUAGGCACAUCUUCCUGUCCAAAGCCCUCUCUUGUCCCAAUCAGUCACUAAAUUUCCCAUUGUGCUGUAUUAUGCAAUCCAUUGAUUUUUAUACUUAACACGUCAUAUCCCUUUAAGUUAACUUUUUGCUCUGUGAAAGUCAGUAAACCAUGCAGAAAUAGCUAUGUUCAAUUCAACCAUCUAGAUCCCUGACCAGCGUUCACAGAAAAAAAAAAUCAACAAACAUGAAAAUAAGCUCAAGAGUUGUCGUAAUGAAAUACAAUUUUAAACAAUGAGAUGUUUUUUAACCUAUCUGAUUAAAACAAACAAACAAACAGUUCAGCUAUAACCAAUAUGAGGAGACAGGCACUUUCGUAUACAUUUGAUGGCAGCACAGAUGACGAGACAGACAGUGAAGAUCAUUUGGAUAUUACCCCAUCAGGAUUUAAAAUGCACUAACUCUUGCCCCAGCAAGUUCAUGUCUUGAAUUUAUUCCAAAGAUAUAUUUGCAAAAAUAUGCACAAAAAAGUAUGUCAAUAAUUCUCAUUUCAAGGCUGGGCGUGGUGGCUUAUGCCUGUAAUCCCAGCACUUUGGGAGGCCAAGGCAGGCAGAUCAUGAGGUCAGGAGUUCAAGACCAGCCUGGCCAAUAUGGUGAAACCCCGUCUCUGUUAAAAAUAUAAAAAAUGAGCUGGGUGUGGUGGCAUGCACCUGUAGUCCCAGCUAUUCGGGAGGCUGAGGCAGGAGAAUCACUGAACGUGGGAGGUGGAGGUUGCAGUGAGCCGAGAUUGCAUCACCGCACUCCAGCCUGGGUGACAGAGCAAGACUCUGUUUCAAAAGAAAGAAAAAAAAAAAGAAUUCUCAUUUGAGGAUUGUCAAGAAAAUAGCAAAAAGCCGAGGAAAUCAGAAUGCUUAUCAACUGGUACUAUUUAUUAAUGGGAUCAAUUUUGGUAGAUCCAGUUAAAGGAACUAUUUAAAAAAAUGAGAUAUGUUUAUAUGUUCUGAUUUUGAAAGACAAUUUGAAAGCCCCCUGCUUUUUCUUUCCUGAUCAUUGCCCUUUUCCUUCGUUUUACAUUCUAUCUUGAUUACGUAUUAAUUUCUUUUUAUUCUAGCUUUGAUAUCUGAUUAUUCAUGCACAAAUUAUAGGUUUAAUUUUACCCAUUUGAACUUUACAGGAAGGAAAUAAUACAGUAUAAGUUCCGUUGUGUUUGGCUGCUUUCAUUCACCAUUACAUCUCUGAAAUUUACCUAUGCUCUUGUAGGUACAGUCAUGUACCACGUGAUGAAGUUUCAGUCAACGCCUGACCAUGUACAUAAUGGUAGUCCCAUAAGAUUAUAAUACCAUACUUUUACUGUACCUUUUAUUUAGAUAUGUUUAGAUACACAAAUACUUACCAUUGUGUUACAACUGCCUACAGUGUUCAGUAGAGUCACAUGCCAUACAGGUUUGUAGCCUGGGAGCAAUGGGCCAUACCAUAUAGCCAAGGUGUGCAAUGGGCUAUACCAUCUCCAUCUAGGUUUGUGUAGGUACACGCUAUGAUGGUCCCACAACAAUGAAAUCACCUAAUGAUGAUUUCUCAUAAUAUAUUCCCAUCGUUAAGUGAGACAUGACUAUACACUAUAGUUGGUUUUCUUUCUUUUCUUUUCUUUUUUUUUUUUUUGAGAUGGAGCUUUGCUCUUGUCACCCUGGUUGGAGUGCGGUGGUGUGAUCUUGGCUCACUGCAACCUCUACCUCCUGGGUUCAAGCAAUUCUCCAGCUUCAGCCUCCCGAGUAGCUGGGAUUACAGGUGCCCACCACCAUGCCCGGCUAAUUUUUUUUGUAUUUUUAGUAGAGAUGAGGUUUCACCACAUUGGCCAGGCUGGUCUUGAACUCCUGGCCUCAGGUGAUCCAUCCGCCUUGGCCUCCCUAAGUGCUGAAAUUACAAGUGUGAGCCACCAUGCCCAGCCCAGUUAAUUUUCAUUGCUGUAUAGGAUUAUAGCGACUAAAUAUAUCACAGUUGUCCACUGUACUGUUGAUGAGUAUUUGUAUUGUAUUAAGUUUUAGCUAAAACAAAUAAUGCUGUUUAUUAGUUUUCUUGUUCAUGUGUCCUGGUGCACAAAAGCAUGCGCUUCUGUAGCAUAUGCAUGAGCAGAACUGCUGAAUCACAAGGUAUUCAGAUCUUUUACUUUAGUAGGUGCUGCCACGCCAUUUUCAGAUGUAAUUUUGUAAAAGUCAACACUCCCAUAAGUGAAAGAAAGCUGAGAGAUCCUAUUGCUCACUGACACUCGGGCCCAUAAGAUUUUUUUUUUUUUUUUGAGACGGAGUUUUGCUCUCGUUGCCCAGGCUGAAGUGCAACGGCACAAUCUUGACUCACUGCAACUUCCGCCUCCUGGGUUCAAGCGAUUCUCCUCCCUCAGCCUCCUGAGUAGCUGGGACUACAGGAGUGUGCCAUGAUGCCCGGCUAAUUUUGUAUUUUUAGUAGAGAUGGCGUUUCUCCAUGUUGGUCAGGCUGGUCUUGAACUCCCAACCUCAGGUGAUCUGCCUGCCUCGGCCUCCCAAGUGCUUAGAUUAGAGACAUGAGCCACUGUGCCCAGCCAGGCCUGUCAGACUUUUAAAAUUCUGCUAAUCUAAGUGGUGGUGUUGAAAUAGCUCUUUGAAGUUUUAGUUCACAUUUCUCUAAUUACAAAAGAAAUGGAGCAUUAUUACCUUCAUAAUUAAAGUGUGUUUUUUUCAGUUAGAGAAACAUAAGAUGAAGACCAGGACAUACACUGUCAGAGAGAUUCUUACACAUUUCUAUUUGUUCAUCUGAAAUGAGAUUUUGCUGGGGUUUUUGUAUUUAUUUACACAUAGCUUCUGGAUGGACAUGCACCCUUGUAAGUCCUGGCAAGGUACUUAACUCCUGGGGAAAUGCACAGAUGACAGGGUAUAGUUUUGAUACAGAAAUCUUUGGCUGUUGGUCGAAAAGUGGUAGUGGAAGUUCUCACACGGUCUCAAGACCAGCAGCAUCCACAUUGCUUGGGAAAUCAGCGGGGAAGAAAAAGAAUCUCAAGAGUUGCACAUGGGCCGGGUACGGUGGCUCACUCUUAUAAAUCCCAGCACUUUGGAAGGCCGAGGUGGGCGGAUCAUGAGGUCAAGAGAUUGAGACCAGCCUGGCCAACAUGGUGAAACCCUGUCUCUACUAAAAAUACAAAAAUUAGCCAGGCCUGAUGGUAUGCGCCUGUAGUCCCAGCUACUCCAGAGGCUGAGGCAGGAGGAUCGCUUGAAUCCGAGAGGCAGAGGUUGCAGUGAGCUGAGAUCGCGCCACUGCACUCCAGCCUGGGCGACAGAGCAAGACUCCGUCUCAAAAAAAAAAAAAAAAAGAGUUGCACAUGGGGACGGGGCAAGGAGAAGCUAUUUGCUUCAGGUGUGGGACAAUUCCCUGGAGGUGGGAACGGAGGGAAUAGAUCCAGCACCUCCAUAAAAAAGACUGCUCAUGUUGAUUGAUUUACUUCUGAGAGACUUGAGUUUUCCCAGAAAUUAAAACAAAAAUAAUGAGAUGUAAGAGUAGCAGCUUAGGAUGAACUGAGAAUAGGGUUGGGGAUGGAUUGAUGAGGGGUUAGAGGGGUGCUGUAUUCAAGAAAAACAGAGAAAAGAACAACUAUCAAUAACUAUCAAUAGGUAGUUUUUUAUCCUCACCCUCCUCCCACAGUCCACCCUCAGGAAGGCCCCAGUAUCUGUUGUUCCCUGCUUUGUGUCCAUGUAUAAUGUUUAGCUCUCACUUGUAAAUGAGAACAUGCAGUAUUUGGUUUUCCGUUCCUGUGUUAAUUUGCUUAGGAUAAUGACCUCCAGAACAAACGCUGGAUCUGGAAAGGCAGCAGCAGGCUUCCUCAGAACAAGUCCUGCUCCGGCCUCGCAUACAUUUUCCAAGUCAAGGAUGUGUUCCCCACCUUAUAUUCAUCCAGCCAAACGUGCACCAGUCUUAGGUAGUUAUGUGUCAUAGCACUGAUGAUUGUAGAAGGUUUUCCAGUUUGUUUCUUACUGAUAUGUCCUACUCGAGAGCAGGGGAUUAUAAAGAGUUGGCCUCCACACAUCCAGAUCUAGGCAUAAGAAGAACAAAAAACAUACGAAUGCAUUAUUACUGCUAACAGGCAACUGCUUUUAAACCAAUAUAAUGGCCAGGUGCGGUGGCUCAUGCCUGUAAUCCCAGCAUUUUGGGAGGCCAAGGCAGUCAGAUCACCUAAGGAAGGGAGUUUGAGACCAGCCUGGCCAACGUGGUGAAACCCUCUCUCUACUAAAAAUACAAAAAUUAGCCAGGCGUGGUGGCGCAUGCCUGUAAUCCCAGCUACUUGGGAGGCUGAGGCAGGAGAAUUGCUUGAACUCAGGAGGUGGAUGUUGUGAGCCGAGGUCGUGCCACUGCACUCCAGCCUGGGCAACAUAGCGACACUCCAUCUCAAAAACAAAAAACGACAACCACAAAAACCCAUAAUAAUGGCUAAUUAAGUUUCUUAUUUAAUUCUCACAACAGCCUUAUAAUUCAGAUUCUGUGAUUAUUCCCAUUUUACAGAUGAGGAAACUAACACAUAGAUUGGUUAAGAAGUUUGCCCAAUGACACAGAAGUUACACAGUAGAGUACAAGGUUCAAAUUUAGAAAGCCUGACUGAGAGCCAGCAAUGAAGAUGAAGGGGUUCUGCCUCUCUCAUAAUUACCUACAGGAAUUGCUGGAUGUAGGCAAGAAACAAGAGAAAUGCUGAUCAUGACUGAAUUCAAUUAUUCAUCUUUUUUAAUACCUAAAACUCCUUAUGUUGCUCACUUUUAAUAGCUAUUAAUUUUACUACACAAAAGUAAAAUAUAACCAUUGAAAAUUUGGCAAAUGCAGGAAAGCACACAGAAGAAAACACAAUUCACUUCUUGUCCUAACAUUCCGAGUGAGUCAAUAUUAACCCAGGUAUAUAUGUAAACUCACGUAGACAUAAACAUUAAGAUAACUUGAUUUUUUUUCAUUUGAUGUUGUGUGAAAUUAUUUUUGAAGUCUUAUGUUGUUUGGACACUUUGGUAGCUUCUGAUUUUUAUUAUUAAAAAUAAUACCCCAAAGAACGUGCUUAUGAUAUAAAUCUUGUGCACCUGAUUUCUCAUCUUACAGUAUACUUGCCAUAACUCUUUUGUUUAAUUACUCUAACCACUCUGUGAGUAGCUCUCACACCAACACAACUCAGCUAUUCUGGCUAAGCCUAGAAGAACCACUUUAGCGAUACAAUGGAUUAUGAGAAAUAACCAUUGCUUGUUGCUUUAAAGUACUGUGUUUUGGGAUAGUUUGUUAUACAGCAAAAGCUAGCUGAUACAUGAAGGAGCAUUUUCCUCCUAACACCAGUUUUUGUUUUUUUUUUUCUUUCCAACUUUUGUUUUCAGUUCAAGGGUACAUGUGCAGGCGUGUUACAUGGGUAAAAUGCAUGUCUGGGGGUUUUGAGCACAGGUCAUUUCAUCACCCAGGUAAUGAGCAUCGCACUCAAUAGGUAGUUUUUUAUCCUCACCCUCCUCCCACAGUCCACCCUCAGGAAGGCCCCAGUAUCUGUUGUUCCCUGCUUUGUGUCCAUGUACAAUGUUUAGCUCUCACUUGUAAAUAAGAACAUGCAGUAUUUAGUCUUCCGUUCCUGUGUUAAUUUGCUUAGGAUAAUGACCUCCAGCUCCACCCACUUUGCUGCAAAGGACAUGAUUUUAUUAUUUUUAAAUGGCUGUGUAACAUUCCAUGGUGUAUAUGUACCACAUUUUCUUUAUCCAGUCCACUGGUUUUUGUUUUUGUUUUUUUGAGACUGAGUCUUGCUCUGUCAUCCAGCCUGGAUGCCCCGCCAUCCAGGUUCAAGCGAUUCUCAUGCCUAAGCCUCCUGAGUAGCUGGGAUUACAGGUACACACUGCCAAACCCAGCUCAUUUUUGUAUUUUUGGUGGAGAUGGGGUUUCACCAUGUUGGCCAGGUUGGUCAUGAACUUCUGACCUCAAGUGAUCUGCCCACCUUGGCCUCCCAAAGUGCUCGGAUUAGAGGCGUGAAUCACCAUGCCUGGCCCCAGUCCGCUGUUGAUGGGCAUCUGGGUUGAUUCCAUGUCUUUGUUAUUGUGGAAAGUGCUACAAUGAGAACAUAGGCAUGCAUGUGUCUUUAUGGUAGAACAAUGUAUAUUCCUUUGGGUAAUAUACCCAGUAAUAGGAUUGCUGGGUCAAAUGGUAGUUCUGUUUUAAAUUCUUUGAGAAAUCUCCCAACUGCUUUCCACAAUGGUUGAACUAAUUUACACUCCCACAGCAGCAGAGUAUAGCAUUCCCUUCUCUCCACAGCCUCGCCAGCAUCUGUUUGUUUUUUUGUUUGUUUGUUUGUUUUUUGACUUUUUAGUAAUAGCCAUUCUGACUGGCUAACACCAGUUUUAUUUACUCAAGUAAAUAAGACCUCCAUCCACUUAGCUGGUCAUUCCAGAAACUUGGUGUGAUAGAUUGAAAUCUUGUUCAAUAAACAGCUCAGUCCUUGUCCCUCAUCUUGCAGAACAGCGUGUUUCCCUGACCCACUGAAUUUGGGCUUCUCUGUUUGACACAUUUGGCCAAUGGAUCGUGAGCACACAUCAUGCAUGCAGAGGUAUAAAUGUGCUGUGUGGUUUGGCUUGACUUUUGAAUUCCUGCCAUUCAGCAUGAGAAGGAUAUGCUGUGAGUCGCUGCUACUCCUAGAAUGAUAAUCAGAUCUGAAUCCAAUUCAGAGACUAGAGCCCAGCCCAACAACCUGUAUUCUGAGGCAGAGCCACUUUGGCCAACCAUGGACAGAUGAAAGAAAAAGUAAAUGCUUAUUGUUCUCAACCACUCAGUUUUGAGGUGGUUUAUUACAUAGCAUCAUGAUGGCAAGAGCUGACUGCUGCUGUGACAAUAACUGCCUGAAUCCUAAAACUCUUAGGAAUAGAAAUUCUGAGCAGAUGGGCCAAGGGUAACCCACUGAGGUACUGGAGUGUUCCAGGCAGAGAAGGAGGAGACUGUUGAGUGACUUGCCUAAUUCUCCCUUGUGCAGGUGUUUGAGAAUUUGCUUGACUAUUUCUCUAUUACAGAACAUAUGGUUUGUUUUCACACCAGAGCAUCCAAGGAGAUUUAGCAACCUUGGGUGGAGUCUAAACUGGCAUUGAUAUCUAAGAGGUUCAGCAUGGGGGAGAGGCAGAGAAAAGGGCUUCUCUAGGGAUAAUCUUUCAAGUGCAGGGCAAGGCCCUGGUUCCUGGAGCAGCACACCUUGCCAGCAUCUGGGGAUGGCAGGAUGGACUGCAGGUGUCGGGGAGAUCAGGUGAACCAAGACUGCAGAUUGUUGGGGCUGUUUGAGGCCAGCCUCUGUUUUGCCAGGAAAAUUGAAAUGCCAUGUUGAAGCUCAGUUACCAGAACCAUUCAGAGACUGGAAGUGAACCUGUAGCUUUGUGGGCAUCCACGAACCAUCACUUUCCACGAGCAAUAGUAGCACUGAGUUCAGGGCAACUGAAAAAAAAUUCAGAGCAUUGGAGGCUUCCAAUACAUUGCCGGCCUCAGAUGGAAGUGACUUAGAAACAGGGUGGAACUGAGCUGGUGGGGUCUCAAGACCUGAAGUUGAGUAGACAGCAUGAGGCAGGAAGCAACAGGUUGGGAGCAGAGUGCUUACUAGUUCUGUGAAUUUGGGCAAGUUACUCAACCUCUCUGUGGCUCGGUUUCUCCACUAGAAGUCAGAGAUAAUGGUGGUACUUACCUUACAGGUUUGUUAGGAGGAUUAAAUGAGUUAAUAUCUGUAAGAUUUUAGAGCAGUGCAUGUCAGAUAUAAGAACUUGUUAAAUAAAAUAUAUUUUAUCCUUUACAUGUAUCUUAAAUGUCAGUUCUUCAGGGAAGCCAUCUAAGACACAUAAUCCCCCAAGAGAAGGCUAGGUUCUCCUUUUAGAGGGUCCCAUAAU